rnacentral:rRNA from 1 species
CGACCGGCCACACUGGGACUGAGACACGGCCCAGACUCCUACGGGAGGCAGCAGUGGGGAAUAUUGCACAAUGGGCGAAAGCCUGAUGCAGCGACGCCGCGUGAGGGAUGACGGCCUUCGGGUUGUAAACCUCUUUCAGCAGGGAAGAAGCGAAAGUGACGGUACCUGCAGAAGAAGCGCCGGCUAACUACGUGCCAGCAGCCGCGGUAAUACGUAGGGCGCAAGCGUUGUCCGGAAUUAUUGGGCGUAAAGAGCUCGUAGGCGGCUUGUCACGUCGGAUGUGAAAGCCCGAGGCUUAACCUCGGGUCUGCAUUCGAUACGGGCUAGCUAGAGUGUGGUAGGGGAGAUCGGAAUUCCUGGUGUAGCGGUGAAAUGCGCAGAUAUCAGGAGGAACACCGGUGGCGAAGGCGGAUCUCUGGGCCAUUACUGACGCUGAGGAGCGAAAGCGUGGGGAGCGAACAGGAUUAGAUACCCUGGUAGUCCACGCCGUAAACGUUGGGAACUAGGUGUUGGCGACAUUCCACGUCGUCGGUGCCGCAGCUAACGCAUUAAGUUCCCCGCCU